AGAGUUUGAUCCUGGCUCAGAGCGAACGCUGGCGGCGUGGAUUAGGCAUGCAUGUCGAGCGAGAAACGGGGGCAACCCCGGAGUAAAGCGGCACACGGGUGAGGAAUGCGUGGAUAACUUGCCUUCGAGACUGGGAUAACGGUGGGAAACCGCCGCUAAUACCUGAUGGCCUCGGGACGCGGCAUCGCGACCCGAGUAAAGGUGGGGACCGUAAGGCCUGCCGCUCGGAGAGAGGUUCACGUCCUAUCAGCUAGUUGGUGAGGUAACGGCUCACCAAGGCUUCGACGGGUAGGCGAGCUGAGAGGCUGACCGCCCACACUGGGACUGAGACACUGCCCAGACUCCUACGGGAGGCUGCAGUCGAGAAUCUUCCGCAAUGGACGCAAGUCUGACGGAGCGACGCCGCGUGCGGGAUGAAGGUCUUUGGAUUGUAAACCGCUGUCACGCGUUAAGAAUGCGCGGGACCCAACACGUCCCGCGUUGACGAAGGCGCGAGAGGAAGCCACGGCUAACUCUGUGCCAGCAGCCGCGGUAAUACAGAGGUGGCAAGCGUUGCUCGGUGUCACUGGGCUUAAAGGGCGCGUAGGCUGUGCGGUACGGUUCGGGUGAAAUCCCUCGGCUCAACCGAGGAACCGCCUGGGCGACGGCCGUGCUAGGCAGCAUCAGGGGAAGAUGGAACUCCCGGUGGAGCGGUGAAAUGCGUAGAUAUCGGGAGGAACGCCGGUGGCGAAAGCGAUCUUCUGGGGGUGCAUGCGACGCUGAGGCGCGAAAGCUAGGGGAGCAAACGGGGAUUAGAUACC
rnacentral:rRNA from 1 species